rnacentral:rRNA from 1 species
GAUGAACGCUGGCGGCAUGCCUUACACAUGCAAGUCGAACGGCAGCACGGGAGCAAUCCUGGUGGCGAGUGGCGAACGGGUGAGUAAUAUAUCGGAACGUGCCCAGUCGUGGGGGAUAACGCAGCGAAAGCUGUGCUAAUACCGCAUACGAUCUACGGAUGAAAGCGGGGGAUCGCAAGACCUCGCGCGAUUGGAGCGGCCGAUAUCAGAUUAGCUAGGUGGUGGGGUAAAGGCCCACCAAGGCGACGAUCCGUAGCUGGUCUGAGAGGACGACCAGCCACACUGGAACGGAGACACGGUCCAGACUCCUACGGGAGGCAGCAGUGGGGAAUUUUGGACAAUGUGCGCAAGCCUGAUCCAGCAAUGCCGCGUGCAGGAUGAAGGCCUUCGGGUUGUAAACUGCUUUUGUACGGAACGAAACGGCUCCUUCUAAUACAAGGGGCUAAUGACGGUACCGUAAGAAUAAGCACCGGCUAACUACGUGCCAGCCGCCGCGGUAAAAC